rnacentral:rRNA from 1 species
UACGUAGGUGGCAAGCGUUGUCCGGAAUUAUUGGGCUUAAAGGGUGCGUAGGUGGCUAUCUAAGUCAGUGGUGAAAUAUCUCAGCUUAACUGAGAGGGUGCCAUUGAUACUGGAUAGCUUGAGUACAGAUGAGGUAGGCGGAAUUGACGGUGUAGCGGUGAAAUGCAUAGAUAUCGUCAAGAACACCGAUAGCGAAGGCAGCUUACCAAGCUGUAACUGACACUGAGGCACGAAAGUGUGGGGAUCAAACAGG